rnacentral:rRNA from 1 species
AGCCCAGCACUGAAUCCCGUCGUUGUAACGGCGGCGGGAGAUGUGGUGUUCGGGAGGUUCCGCUUUCUUGUCGUCGUCCACUCCUGUCCAAGUUCGUCUUGAACGGGGCCCAUUUCCCAUAGAGGGUGCCAGGCCCGUAGCGACGGAGGACGGCGGCGAGAGGGACUCUCCUCAGAGUCGGGUUGCUUGAGAGUGCAGCCCUAAGUGGGUGGUAAACUCCAUCUAAGGCUAAAUAUUACCGCGAGACCGAUAGCGAACAAGUACCGU